GAUGAACGCUGGCGGCGUGCCUAAUACAUGCGAGUCGAGCGAACAGAUAAGGAGCUUGCUCCUUUGACGUUAGCGGCGGACGGGUGAGUAACACGUGGGUAACCUACCUAUAAGACUGGAAUAACUCCGGGAAGCCGGGGCUAAUGCCGGAUAACAUUUAGAACCGCAUGGUUCUAAAGUGAAAGAUGGUUUUGCUAUCACUUAUAGAUGGACCCGCGCCGUAUUAGCUAGUUGGUAAGGUAACGGCUUACCAAGGCAACGAUACGUAGCCGACCUGAGAGGGUGAUCGGCCACACUGGAACUGAGACACGGUCCAGACUCCUACGGGAGGCAGCAGUAGGGAAUCUUCCGCAAUGGGCGAAAGCCUGACGGAGCAACGCCGCGUGAGUGAUGAAGGUCUUCGGAUCGUAAAACUCUGUUAUUAGGGAAGAACAAAUGUGUAAGUAACUGUGCACGUCUUGACGGUACCUAAUCAGAAAGCCACGGCUAACUACGUG
rnacentral:rRNA from 1 species